rnacentral:rRNA from 1 species
UACGGGGGGGGCAAGCGUUGUUCGGAAUUACUGGGCGUAAAGGGCUCGUAGGCGGCCAACUAAGUCAGACGUGAAAUCCCUCGGCUUAACCGGGGAACUGCAUCUGAUACUGGAUGGCUUGAGUUCGGGAGAGGGAUGCGGAAUUCCAGGUGUAGCGGUGAAAUGCGUAGAUAUCUGGAGGAACACCGGUGGCGAAGGCGGCAUCCUGGACCGGCAUUGAUGCUGAGGAGCGAAAGCCAGGGGAGCAAACGGG